rnacentral:rRNA from 1 species
UACGAAGGGGGCUAGCGUUGUUCGGAAUUACUGGGCGUAAAGCGCACGUAGGCGGACAUUUAAGUCAGGGGUGAAAUCCCGGGGCUCAACCCCGGAACUGCCUUUGAUACUGGAUGUCUUGAGUGUGGUAGAGGUGAGUGGAAUUGCGAGUGUAGAGGUGAAAUUCGUAGAUAUUCGCAGGAACACCAGUGGCGAAGGCGGCUCACUGGACCACAACUGACGCUGAGGUGCGAAAGCGUGGGGGAGCAAACAGG